GUCUCGUUUUGCAACACCCCAGCUCCGCAGAAGUGUUUGCAGGGCCAGCUGUUUUUGCUCAUGCAUUCAUUAAUAAAAGUAGUGAAUGCAACAAGAGCCACUCUUUUCUUUCCUUUGUCCUGUCCUGAAAGGGGGCAGGGACGGAGCAGGAGAGCCUGCAGACGCAGGGGACGUGCCAGACGUGCAACAGGAAGGGCUCGGCGAGAAGAGGACUGCGAGGAAGGAAGGGCUUCCUGCAGCCCCUGGUGAACUUCCCCGUCCAGCUGUGAUCAACCUGCAAAGGGCACGACUGUGGUUCUGGCUCGGCUUUCCGUGGUCCCAGCUCUGGCUCUGGAAGCCACUCGGAGGAAGGAGCGGGAUUAGGGAGAAACGUCGAUGCAAGCUUCCUGAGUAUUGUGUUCCCCCAGAGCACCGACAGGCUCCCAGGGCCAGCGCUUCAGCAGACCGUGAGCCGUGGCAUUGAGAGUCCAGUGAGCUGGGGAGAAAGGAGGCUUUUGUCCUUAAGGCUUUUGGAGCUCAGGGAGGGGG
rnacentral:lncRNA from 1 species